GAUGAGCGCUAGCUACAGGCUUAACACAUGCAAGUCGAGGGGAAACGGCAUUGAGUGCUUGCACUGAAUGGACGUCGACCGGCGCACGGGUGAGUAACGCGUAUCCAACCUUCCCAUUACUGUGGGAUAACCUGCCGAAAGGCAGACUAAUACCUCAUAGUCUUCGAUGACGGCAUCAGAUUUGAAGUAAAGAUUUAUCGGUAAUGGAUGGGGAUGCGUCUGAUUAGCUUGUUGGCGGGGUAACGGCCCACCAAGGCAACGAUCAGUAGGGGUUCUGAGAGGAAGGUCCCCCACAUUGGAACUGAGACACGGUCCAAACUCCUACGGGAGGCAGCAGUGAGGAAUAUUGGUCAAUGGACGGAAGUCUGAACCAGCCAAGUAGCGUGCAGGAUGACGGCUCUAUGGGUUGUAAACUGCUUUUGUAUGGGGAUAAAGUCAAUCACGUGUGAUUGUUUGCAGGUACCAUACGAAUAAGGACCGGCUAAUUCCGUGCCAGCAGCCGCGGUAAUACGGAAGGUUCGGGCGUUAUCCGGAUUUAUUGGGUUUAAAGGGAGCGUAGGCCGGAGAUUAAGUGUGUUGUGAAAUGUAGACGCUCAACGUCUGAAUUGCAGCGCAUACUGGUUUCCUUGAGUACGCACAACGUUGGCGGAAUUCGUCGUGUAGCGGUGAAAUGCUUAGAUAUGACGAAGAACUCCGAUUGCGAAGGCAGCUGACGGGAGCGCAACUGACGCUUAAGCUCGAAGGUGCGGGUAUCAAACAGG
rnacentral:rRNA from 1 species